CUUGUCACUUGGAUAUUAUCAUGAUCCAGAUACAGUUGUGUUUGGAACAGGUAGUGAUUCAUGUUACUUGGAACGAACUGAUGCUAUAAUCAAGUCUCAGGGUCUGCUUACAACUUCUAGAAGCAUGUCAAUAUGGAGUGGGGAAAUUUUUGGUCCUCACACCUGCCAAGGACUUCAUAUGACAUUGACUUGGAUGCAGAGAGUUCAAAUCGAAAUGAUAUGGGAUUUGAGAAGAUGAUAGCAGGAAUGUAUCUGGGUGACAUUGUUCGCAUGUCACAAGAAUCUGAUAUCUUUUGACCCUCCUCUUCGUUGUUGUCUGAGCCUUACACCUGAUAACUUUAAUUUUGUUUGAUUAUUAUGGAUAUUAUCUAUUUAGGCACAUUGUAGCGUACAUUCCACCGGUUUAGUUCUAAAUAACAUAAAACAAAAUAAUGAAUAUUAUCUAUUUUUAGGCACAUUAUAUAUUUAAUUAUAAAGCUUAGGAUUUGUAUAAGAAUUUUCCUUUUGCAAUUGAAAGGAAAUUUAUAUUCAAAA